UCUCCUCAUAACCUCCAACAAUGCUGAAGCCCCAGCUGCCAGGGUGACUUCUGCGGAGGACGAUCUCAUGACUGCUAUGCAGGUAGCUGUGACAGGGAACCAGAAAGACAGAGAACGAUGUGGAAAAACAACAGAAAGAGGCAGAGUUUCAACAAAGUCCCAUCCUGAAGAGGCAGAACUGCCAGUGCGGAGAAGAUGAAUGCACGGGUUGCUGAGAGGACGCUUUACACGGGGAGGAGCGCACUCUAAACCAUGGACACCUUUGAGGGACAAAAAGACUCAUAAUAUAAACUUCACUCCAUAAAACAUGUCGCAGCGUGGCAUGCUGAGAGAACAAGAAGGCGUCAGCGGACAGGUGACAGAUAACUUAUCCAGCAGCUUGUGCACCAAAAUGCUGGAUCGCCGGCAGACCUGCAGCUGCAGAUGUGCACGGUCCAGUGGACAAAAG